rnacentral:lncRNA from 1 species
GUUGGAGACUUAUCUUGUAGGUCUUGCCAUCGAUGUCCUACCAUCACCGACUUGUAAUUACCAUCCAACUCUAGUUGAUCCGACCCAAGAUUGAUUUCUAUUGUAAUAGAUUGGUGCUAGAGGAAGAGCCAGAUCUGUUUAUGAGAAAGAGUGAGUAUUCAAUGAGAGAAGCUUCAUCGCACUGCUCCAAUGCUGAACAGAUCCAAUCAUUUGUAAAUCAGUCAAAUGCAGACCA